AACCAAAAUGCACCUUGGUUGCUUGGACAAGGGACUGAUGCGGAAGGCUUUCCAGCUCUCUGUCUGCACCACAAAACCAUGAUCCUGGUGAUGUUGUUGGUGUUGGUACUUCUGUGUUCUGAAUUUGGUUUAUUUCCCAUGCAUUCUGUUUCUUGCGCCAGAGGAAAACUAAGCUGGAAACGACGAAAAUGCAAGCACAAACAAGGAACAUGUCCCAAAGUGCUCUAUAAGAGAAAUGGUAGAUCUUUCCCGUGUUGUGAUCUAUAGGAUAUAUGUAGUAACCAGUCACAAUGCUCAAAAGUAGCAGGAACAUAAUGAAUGAUGAUGAG
rnacentral:lncRNA from 1 species